UCGAGAUCUCAGCUUCUUCAUAAGCUCCCACACGAAUUGCUUGAUUCACUGGUUAGACGAUUGGGUCUGUAGCUCAGUUGGUUAGAGCGCACCCCUGAUAAGGGUGAGGUCGGCAGUUCGAAUCUGCCCAGACCCACCAAUUGUUGGUGUGCUGCGUGAUCCGAUACGGGGCCAUAGCUCAGCUGGGAGAGCGCCUGCUUUGCACGCAGGAGGUCAGGAGUUCGAUCCUCCUUGGCUCCACCAUCUAAAACAAUCGUCGAAAGCUCAGAAAUGAAUGUUCGUAGAUGAACAUUGAUUUCUGGUCUUUGCACCAGAACUGUUCUUUAAAAAUUCGGGUAUGUGAUAGAAGUAAGACUGAAUGAUCUCUUUCACUGGUGAUCAUUCAAGUCAAGGUAAAAUUUGCGAGUUCAAGCGCGAAUUUUCGGCGAAUGUCGUCUUCACAGUAUAACCAGAUUGCUUGGGGUUU
rnacentral:tRNA from 1 species